rnacentral:lncRNA from 1 species
AAACAUCCGUCUCUCUCCCUAUCUUCUCUCUCUUCCAUCUCUCUCUCUAAAACCAAAACAACCGAUACCGCCUUCACUGGCGACCACCGUUAAGCUAUUUUUCUCCUCCCCUGCACAAAAGCCAUGCAGCUGCCACAACCAUCAACACCAGCCGUCGCCGUCAGCGAACUCAACAACUUUGUCCAAUCACCACGGUUCAGGCGCUGGCGAUCCGCUGCUUCUUCCCCUAUGUCUGUCGCCUCCUUUCCCAACACCACCAACAGUGGCAACAAUAACAGCCACCGUCCCUCCAUUAUCCUUUUCAACUAUCCCCGCCGUCCACCAAUCAUAAAUGUAGAUGACGAGCAAAGUAUGACUUGAAUGUCUGGCAUCUUUACUGGCCCUGAGUUGACGAGCAGGUUUGCGUACUUUCAGCUUAGAUGCAUUUUUGGUAGACAAAUUCUUUUCGGGAGAUAUGUUCUUAGUUAUGCGCUUCUCCAGUGGAUUGUAAGUUAGAAGAAGCAUCGCCAGGCUCUCUAUGUUUUAGACCAGGCUGUGUGGCCUUCGUACCACUUGUCACAAGGUAAACUAUUUCUAUCUCCAUCUCCUUUAUAUUUUCAUGUAAUUCUAUUUGAUAUUGUUUGUUCAUGUGUUGGUUUUACGCUUGGAUCGAUUUAGUUAUGUGUAUGGUCAAAAACCUAUGUUUUGUCAUGGCAAGAAUAAUUUUACUCAGGGCAGCAACACUACAUGUGUUCACUUAUUAGGAUGCAUUAGUGCUGCGCUAUUUUUUCUUUUAAAAAAUUAUUUUUCCUUUAUAGUUUUCUUUUUGUCACUAUUUUAUUCUAUUGUGGUACAAAUAAGAAAAAUAAAGUUUAUUUUUUCUUAUAUUUGUUGAUGUAUUGUUCUUCCUCCCAGUGUUACUCACCUCUUUCUCAACUCCUAACUUGAUCUAUAAUUAUUUUCAUGGACAUCAUUAAUUAUCUGUCAUGUUGCAUAUAGGCCUGUUUUGCUAAAACGAAAUUAUACUAUUCGUGUAAGAUCUAGCUAUCUGUAACCAUUAAUAUCCAAAAUUAAAUGUGAGAGGAUGGAAGAGUUAAUGCCUUGCUCUACUAUAGAUCUUUAUUUAGGUUGUCAAGAGGUAAAAUCAUCCAUCAGUAGAUACAAAAGUUCUUAUAACUGUGUAUGGUCAACGGAAUGUCACACCACAUUUAAUGAUCUUAUAACUGUGAUAAGACUUGACAAACCUCCUUCCUUUUAAGAUAGCUUUUGGAUUGUGAUUUGGCCCUAAGCUAUAAGAGUGAGACACGUUAGGUACGAUGUGACACUCCCAUAUCGUGUAAAGCAGAGUGCAACUAAUAUGAACUUUGUAGUUUCAAUUGCUUUGCAUAUGGAAGUAUAUUCGCAUCGCACCUGUGUUUUUUUUACUUCUUCAAUCCUAGAUUGUAUUACUAUUUGUUAUAAGAUCAUAACUUAAGUUUUGAUAGAAUAUGCAUUUUGGUGAAUGGAAUGUCCCCGUUAUUGAAUGGGUAGAAUCUUGGACUCCUUGUAAGGCCUGAGCAAUGUCUUUCAUUUGAGCUACCUUUUGGGGUGUGAGUUAAGUUUAAAGCCUAAUUUGAAAUGUUAUUAGAGGUAGGCCUGCUAUGGUCCCUUACAUUUGGGGAGUGAGUGAAAUCUUGAGAUCCUUAAAGGUGAACUUUUAUUUUGAAUUUAGUUUAGUUUGGUAACUUAUGAAGUGAAUUAUUGACUUGAAAUGUUUAAGUGUAGGUACUUGAAAGGUGAACUUUUGUUUUAAAUUUAGUAAGGUACAUGGUCACUUUAGAAAUGAAUUAGUGGCUUCGAUUUGUUUAAGUGUAGGUACUUCAAAUGUGAACUUGUGUUUUGAAUUUAGUUUAGUUUGGUAACUUGUGAAGUGAAUUAGCGACUUGAAAAUGUUUAAGUGUAGGUAUUUUGAAAUGUGAUCUUUUAUUUUGAAUUUAGUUUAGGUUGGUAACUUGUGAAGUGAAUUAGCGACUUGAAGUGAAAACAGGAAAAGUAUAGUGACUUGAAAAUUGUUGAAGUGUAGUUACUUGAAAUGUGAAUUAAUUAUUUGAAAAUGGUUAAGUGUAGUGAUUUGAAAUAUGUACUGGUGAAUUGAAAAUGAUUAAGUGUAGUGACUUGCAAUGUGAAUUAGUUACUUGAAAAUGGUUUUUGUAGUGACUUGAAAUGUGAACUAGUGACUUGAAAAUGGUUAAGUAUAGUUACUUGAAAAUGCUAAUAUAUACAUAUUUAUAUUUGUUGAUUGUUAUGAUUUUAUUUGAUACUAUAAUAUCAUAUAAUUUAUGCUAAUAAUGUAUUUUUAGCACUUUUUAUGACCUUGAAUUAACAUAUUCUUAUCCAGAAUGAGUUUGAAAGAAGAAACAAGAAAUAUUAGCUGCUCAAAGUGCAUCAAUUUUGGAAGC